rnacentral:misc_RNA from 1 species
UAGAGCCAAUUGUGUAAGAAACAUUAUAUAUUUAACAAAAUGAAAUUGACAGCUAAACUCAUACAAUACCAUGAGCAAGCCCAAAUCAGAGACUUAAAUCUCACAUCUCAAAACUCAUGAUUUUCAGUUCAAAUUCGUGCCCGUCGAUAUAACCGAAGGUUCCAAUUUUCAGUAAAUCAAUCUCACCAAAACUUUGUAAAUAACAAAUAAUUGACAGAAUUUUCUAAUAAAAAAAGGACUUCCAGAACGUA